rnacentral:rRNA from 1 species
UACAGAGGGUGCGAGCGUUAAUCGGAUUUACUGGGCGUAAAGGGCGCGUAGGCGGCGUGACAAGUCACUUGUGAAAUCUCCGGGCUUAACCCGGAGCGGCCAAGUGAUACUGUCGUGCUAGAGUGCGGAAGGGGCUACUGGAAUUCUCGGUGUAGCGGUGAAAUGCGUAGAGAUGUGGAGGAACACCAGUGGCGAAGGCGACUCUUUGGCCUGUAACUGACGCUGAGGCGCGAAAGCGUGGGGAGCAAACAGG